AGAGUUUGAUCAUGGCUCAGAGCGAACGUUAGCGGCGCGCCUAACACAUGCAAGUCGCACGAGAAAGGGCUUCGGCCCCGGUAAAGUGGCGCACGGGUGAGUAACACGUGGGUAAUCUUCCUCCGAGCGGGGGAUAACAUUCCGAAAGGAGUGCUAAUACUGCAUAAGACCACGGAGUCGAAAGACACUGAGGUAAAAGCUGGCCUCUUCACGAAAGCUAGCAUUUGGAGAUGAGCCCGCGGCCCAUCAGGCAGUUGGCAGGGUAAUGGCCUACCAAACCUAAGACGGGUAGCUGGUCUGAGAGGAUGAUCAGCCACACUGGAACUGAGACACGGUCCAGACUCCUACGGGAGGCAGCAGUGGGGAAUCUUGCGCAAUGGACGAAAGUCUGACGCAGCGACGCCGCGUGGGUGAUGAAGGCCUUCGGGUUGUAAAGCCCUGUGGGUGAGGACGAAUUAGUGCAUCCCAACACGAUGCAUGAUGACGGUACUCACUUAGCAAGCACCGGCUAAUUCUGUGCCAGCAGCCGCGGUAAGACAGAGGGUGCGAACGUUGCUCGGAAUUACUGGGCGUAAAGCGUGUGUAGGCGGCCACGCAAGUCGGAUGUGAAAGCCCUGGGCUCAACCCAGGAAGUGCACCCGAUACUGCGACGGCUUGAGUACCGGAGAGUGGUGGAAUUCUCGGUGUAGAGGUGAAAUUCGUAGAUAUCAGGAGGAACACCGGUGGCGAAGGCGGAUCUCUGGGCCAUUACUGACGCUGAGGAGCGAAAGCGUGGGGAGCGAACAGGAUUAGAUACCCUAGUAGUCC
rnacentral:rRNA from 1 species